rnacentral:rRNA from 1 species
GACAGAGGUGCCAAGCGUUAGGCGGAAUCACUAGGCUUAAAGCGUGUGUAGGCGGGUGCCUAAGUACCUUGUGAAAUCCCCCGGCUCAACCGGGGAACGGCUGGGUAUACUGGGUGCCUUGGGUCAUCUAGGGGCUGCCGGAACAAAUGGUGGAGCGGUGAAAUGCGUAGAUAUCAUUUGGAACGCCAACGGCGAAAGCAGGCAGCUGGGGAUGCACCGACGCUGAGACACGAAAGCCAGGGGAGCGAACGGG